rnacentral:lncRNA from 1 species
UUAAAUCCCACGCAAUGUCGAGUCCGCACACGUACCGUGCAAACAUAGCUGCAUGUCUGUUCCCCACUUUUCUUGAACUAAUCAAAGAUCUAAUGCUAGAUAAAAGAAGUGACAUUACACUGUACAGACUGUAAAAUGUGCAAGAGCAGAGGCCCAAAUACCGGUAUGAGCUACAAGUGACUGUCAGUCGAUGAUCUGAACUUUCUGUCGGACCGUGUACAGUGUUACCGGGUACCUCGCACUAUAACGCUACAUAUCAAAGUAUUCCUCAGGCUUGAAAGAAAUUGUGUUGGGGACUUUUGAGGACUCCCUGGUUUCAUUAUCAGGAGGAAGUACCGGUAAAAGGUGCAAGAGCAGAGGCCCAAAUACCGGUAUGAGCUACAAGUGACUGUCAGUCGAUGAUCUGAACUUUCUGUCGGACUGUGUACAGUGCACCUCACACUAAUGCUAUAUAUCAAAGGUAAAAUGUGCAAGAGCAGAGGCCCAAAUACCGGUAUGAGCUACAAGUGACUGUCAGUCGAUGAUCUGAACUUUCUGUCGGUCUGUGUACAGUGUACCGGGACCUCACACUAAUGCCACAUAUCAAAGUAUUCCUCAGGCUUGAAAGAAAUUGCGUUGGGGACUUUUGAGGACUCCCUGGUUUCAUUAUCAGGAGGAAAUACCGGUAAGUAAUUAAUUUUAUUACACUAACCUUCCCAAAUCCUCCAAAAUCCUCUUUGCAAAAUGGACGAUUUUGGCUACUUGGAUAAGUGUGGUGCUGAUUUUGGAGGAUGCACUGUGUCAAGGUCUUGGGGCAGACCUUGUGUUGUUUAUGCUCAG